AGUGAGACGUCGCACAAAAUCUACUGUUGAAAUCCUAAAAGGUGUGACUACCAAAAACAGUGACUGCGCGGUGUACUUCUACCUUAAAAUUGUCUGGCUGUGGCCAGCAAAUUUAGACAGAGGGUAUGUGCUGCGAGCAUUCGCCUGGUUGCCACUCGUUUGAAUUUCGCGACUGGCAGCAGCCGUUCAACAGAAAGUUGUUGUGUUGCUAUUCCAGUAAAAUCAGCUGGGAUUUAGAUGUUAUCCAUCUUGGCUGAUGUUGUGAGUGAGUGUUUCAAACAAACUACUAUGUCUCGCUUCAACUGAUAUCGAACGUUAGUGUUUUGUGUCAGUGCAUCUGAGGAAUUGCAUAGGUGGUACUGUGUAAGCAUUCUGUGUGAGGAAGCGAGCCAUCGAAACUGACGGUGGAGGUAAAAACAACGGCCUAAUCGUUUCGCUAAAGUAUUGCCGUCAUAUGACAACAGCCAAUGGAGAGGGCAGCAUGGUGCUGCUGUAAAGGGUGACGAAACGCGUAUCCGUCCAUCGGAGUGCUCCUGUAACAGCGUGUUUGUUACUACUACAAAUACUCGCAAAAUGGGCAAUACACUCGUGAGCUAUGCGCCGUCAACGAUUCAUUCAGUUGACGAAUAUCUGGCGGAUCUACCAGAAUACCAGCGUGAGUUGAACUUGGGCUCAACCCGCUUUCUCAAGACAGUAAAAGUUCGCGCCGCUAAUUGUCAAUAUCCGUUAGUUGUCAAAGUACUAGCCCUGCCUCAGGACAACACUUUGCCACUUCAGUCGCAUCAAAAAAAUAUCGAGAAAAUCAGAAACGCCCUGGAAAACUGUCCAAACGCUUUACCAUUCACAAAAACCUACCUUUCUGCAAGGUCGGCUAUUCUGGUUAGACAGUUCGUGAAGUACUCACUAUAUGAUCGAGUGUCCACUCGGCCAUUUCUUACAAUUUCGGAAAAGAAGUGGAUUGCCUUUCAGCUGUUGUGUGCGCUGGCGCAGUGUCAUCGCGCUGAAGUUUGUCACGGAGAUAUCAAGCUUGAGAACAUUUUGGUCACUGGGUGGAAUUGGGUCGCUCUUACCGAUUUCGCUUCAUUCAAGCCAACUAUGAUGCCCAUGGAUAACCCAACAGAAUUCUUUUACUUCUUCGACACGUCUAGACGACAGGUUUGCUGCAUAGCGCCGGAACGAUUUUACAGACACCGAACGGUACAAGAGGAAAUUCUAGAGGAGCCCCGUGCGGAGCUGACGUCCGCCAUGGACAUCUUUUCCCUUGGAUGUGUAUUCAUUGAGCUCUUUACCGACGGCAAAUUUCCUUUCAAACUAUCUGACAUGUAUAAAUACAAACAAGGUGAAACAGAUCGACCGCCUCAACUACAGGAGAUUUCGGAUGAGGGCAUUCGCGAGUUGGCGGCUCAUAUGAUUCAGCGUGAGCCACAAAAACGCUUUACUGCUGAUAAAUACCUCGACAUGUGCCGGAAAAAUCAAAUAUUUCCGUCGUGCUUUUUCACCGGUCUCCUUGAUUACCUCAAACUUUAUGCACUCGAUACGUCACAUCCUGACUCGCAAAUUUUCCGCCUAUUCAAAGAUCACGAGGUAUUCCUGGAAAAAAUAGCCGAUAGCGAAGAAGGGGUUUUGGCGCUUGUCAACUUCAUCACUGCUAUGCUACGUUCCCUUAAGCAUUCGUCCGCUAAAAUGGUUGGGCUGAAAUUAAUUAAAGUCUGCGCAAGCAGGCUAGCACCAUUCGUGAUACUAGAAAGAUUGUCACCCUUUGUACUUCAUAUGCUGCAGGAUCCAUCGGCUCAAGUAGUAUCUGAAGCGAUCCAUGUGCUUACUGAUUGCCUCUCUUACAUUCAAAGUGUACCCAUGGGAGAUUCAUUCGUCUUCGUCGAGUACAUCAUGCCGGAGCUACAAAAGGCUUCCGUGCAUACUAACGAUAUUGUCCGUCUUGCUUUAGCCGCCAACCUUGGUAGACUCGCUGAGACGGCUCUCAGCUUUUUGGAGACAAGUCAUUUGAACUGCGCAGAUGUUGGCUCUAAGGAGGAUGUAUCGAGUCAGCACCUGUAUCGCUCCUCAUAUGAACGUGAACUGGGCUUACUUCAUGAUGCUGUACAAAACAUCGUCGCCACUUUGAUUUCAGAUCACUGCAAUCAAGUGAAGAGAAUGUUGCUGGAAAAAGGCGCAACGAAGCUGUGCGUUUUCUUCGGUGAAGAAAGUGCUCAUGAUGUACUACUUUCGCAUAUGAUUACUUUCCUCAACGACUCUGCGGAUCAUGAAUUGCGCGCUUCAUUCUAUACCAGCGUCGCCGGCGUAGCCGUUUUCGUGGGUACAACCGUAACGUCCAUCUUGAUGCCCCUCAUCGAACAAGGAUUCAACGAUUCUCAUGAUGCAGUAGUUUGUAGCACACUUAAGUGUGUAACAGCUCUGACGGAGAUACACUUCUUUCGUCGAGGCACCCUGUGCACACUUUUCUCACAAGCGCUGCAUCUUCUUAAGCACCGAAAUACCUGGAUCCGCGUCGAAACAGCGCAUUUUCUUGCUUGCGUGGCCCGCAACGUACCGCUGGCUAUUAAGGAAUGUCGAUUAAGACCCUUUCUCAAGCCCUUCCUGGAGUGUCCUGCAGUUCAGAUCGAGAAAGCAGAGGUGAUCAUCGGAUGCCUAGCUAAGAGGGACGUGCCCGGGAUUCAACGGGCCAGCGUUUAUGGAAAAUCGGAAGCAUCCGGAGAUUUGGCCAAAAUAAAUCUCGAAGAAAAAAAUUGGAAAGGAAAAUCUAAGGAGAUUAAUAUUAAGGAGACCCAUAGAUCCGAGGACGUCCUUUGUGAGGCUUUGCUACAAUAUUGCCAAUUAGAAAAUCUGCUUAACAAGAAAAAACAAUGUGUUAACGAAUUACGAGCUGUAGACGUUGAAGCGAACGACUUACAUUUUUCCCAAGCCUGGAAGCCAAAAGGGACCUUGAUGGCGCACAUGCACGAGCAUCAAGGCGCUAUUAACAAGGUUUGUGUUCUGCCGGACGCGGUGUUCGCUACAUGUUCCUCUGACGGCACCGUAAGACUAUGGGACUGGACACGUAUGGAAAAGCGCGUGAUGACCAACAAGUCUAUUUACACGUACGAUCGUUUAACGGGCCAGCUGGUAUCAAUGGACUACUGCGUCAGCGAGCAGUGCGUGUUAGUUGCCAGUAACUCUGGAAAUAUGGAGGUAUUCAAGCUAGAGCCAGGUUCAAAUGCUGGCCCACAGUUUAUUUCAGGUCGCUGCUUAGAUCCGCUGAACGAAGGCUGGGCUGUCGAUGUGAAACCGGCCGGUGGAUCUGUUAUGGCUUAUGCUUCUUUGUACGGCGGAAUCUGUGGUUGGGAUUUGCGAACACCUGGCACGACAUGGCGCCUACGAAACGACGCAAAGUGUGGGCUAAAUAUGUGCAUGGCUAUUGAUUCAAGCAGACACUGGCUUGUAACAGCGACUAAUGAAGGAUUCAUUACGUGCUGGGACCUUCGCUUUCAUCUUCCCAUAGCCAAGAUUCAGCACCCGUACAAAUUUCGUACUUACAAGUUACUCAUCCCAAAGCAUUGUAACAAUGGAAGCGUAUGGGCUGCCCACUUCAGCAAUCAUGAAGUCUCUCUGUGGAACCUAGAAAACCAGCAACGAUCGAAGACUUUGUGGGCGUCGAAGUGUUCGCCAUUUACGGAUCGGGAAUUCACGAAGAGUGUUGCUUACGGAAUAUGCCAAGCUGACCAGCACAUUUUCACAGGAGGAACAGAUAUGCGGAUAAGGUGUUGGGAUGUAUCUGAUAACGAAAAGGGCUAUCGGAACUCGUACCUCGUGACAGGCUCUGCAAUGGAUGGGGAUCGUAUCACGGCAAGCUAUUUCUCAAUCUUUUGCGAUGGUACACAGGUGAUUCAAGAGCAACUUCGUAAAAAUGUAUCGGAAAAAUCCGAAUAUCUGAUGGGUAGCCGCGCGGCGGCCGGCCACAAAGACUGUGUGAGCGAACUGGCCAUUUUAAGGACCACCCGCAACUUCCUCGUUUCAACUUCCACAGAGGGUGUUCUCAAAAUAUGGAAGUAGAUAGUUGAUGAGCAACGAAACAUAGCAAAAUACUGAAUAAUAUACGACAAAUUUCAGUUCCACAAAUCCAACGGGUAGUUUGCAAACAUUUUUUUCAAAGCUUGUUCGAUGUAAUUUUUGUGCGUGCCUUGUGAACCACGUAUCCUACAUUGACGCUAGAAAGAGCUGUUGCGCCCGUGGAGGUGUCACUGCAAUAGCUAUCGGUACGAUGCAUUCGAAGGUUAGUUACAAUGCUUUAGAAACUCAAGUGGAGUAGACCAUGACAUGUUAUAGGUGACACAAAUUUGAAACAUUUCACGAAGUCGUGUUAGAACUAUAUAAUUUGGGCAUUUCUGAACUGAGCAAUGGUAGAUUAUAACUGUGGCACUAUAUCGUUGUCUUAGAACGUAUUGUCGUUAUUUAGGGUAAAGUAUGAGCAGUGAAAAAUUUUAUUUACAAAUAUUUCGUACUCAAUACUUGAGUAUGAAUGUACGCUGGUCUGUUGGAUAAACUAUAUAUGUGUACAGUUACUGCUGCCAACAGUAGAUCUAUAUCCAUUUGCUAUUGAUAUGACUCACUUUUGUUACGAGCCCUUCCCAGUUUGGUCUAAAAGCGCCGGUAACAAUUACCAGUACGAUCAACUCGGCCUGACGGAUUCAAGUGACAGCUAGUAGUAUAGCCUGAAUAAAUUUAGGACAGAAAUAGAAGCGCGUUCAAAUGUAAAUAGGGUUACGUUACGUUAACUAAAUGCUAUACAGGUAACAAAAUGCUAGCUUUUUACGACGCUGAUAGAAGUUUAUAGAUUUCUGGCAAACAUUAUGUCUGUUAUUAUUUAUCUCAAACGUUAAAUUAUCUACGUUAGUUUGUGAUUUUAAAUACUCUGCUGUCAAUCGGCCUUGUACUGCACAAUCGCCUGUUUAUACGCGCCCAUGGAUGUAGCGUUGCUCUAAGUUACUCUUUGUUCAACCAAAAGCUCUAUCAAUCAAGAAUCCUGUACAUAUCUAGCAUAACAGGCAUUUUGUUUAUCGGCAGAGAACCUGUAACUGAGUGCUCAUUACUCGGCUUGUUAUAUAAAUAUAAUGUAUAGUAUAAUGAGGUAUUUGCAUCGAAGGAAAGGCGGAGUUAAACUUUGGCUGCUUGUAACGAUGGUCAUGGCCAGGACAAGCUGCCUAAUUUUAAUAAAGAAAAAGUGUCCACCAAAUAAACUAUGAUCGUUAAAUUGCAUAUAAUAGUAAUAUGAGGCUACUUGACUUUAUUGAGGGUUACACGGAACUAGCAUGGAUUAAACAUUACAUAACGUGUCUACAUAACGUAAGCCUGCAAGAUCGUUUUCGCGCUUUUUUUUUUUUUUUUACUUUUUAGAGAGAGUACAUCUAGAUGUGGGCUUUUCACACGUCAAGGAAACAUCAGUGAAAUAGAUAACGGGUGAUAGGUCGAAGCAGCGCUUAGAAGGCAAAUGUCAGUAUGUAGCUAGACAACUAUAGUUGCUUACAUGAGGAGCCUUCACGUAAAAUAUACAUAUUUUUGAUACUUGUUUAUUCCGUAUUCGAUAAUAUAGGCAAAUAGGAAACGAGAGUUGCGCAAAGAUGCCAUCUGGUGCAGACACUUCAGUAGUACAUCGUUAACUCGCUAUACAGCAUCUUGUUCAAAUCUUUACAUAAAUAAAUACAUUUUUUUUAGUUUAGAGGGCUAAAAUACUUAUAAUAAACAAUACACGCUAUUGCUCAAUAGCCCAAUGCUCUAUCAUCGUGUACAAUGCGUGCACCGGAGGGUCGUGCCUGUAUCACUGGCCAUUCUAGCGAGGAGCGAACCUUGAAACAAUGAGGCCACUAACGUUUUCCCUUUUCUAGAAGCUUUCCUAUUUCUCUUAAGAGGAGGCAAGAUGCAGUCACGUAAGGGCGAUUCAUUAAUUCAUAAACCAUUUCUAUUGUGUAUUGUAGCAAGGCCGGCGCGUACUUCAAGAUGCUUCCUUAGGGCGCUCUGCAUGACUUUGUUUUCACUGUCUCGCGUUGAUGUAUAGUUUGUCCUCAAUGACGCAGAUAGAGAUUUAUACAGAAAACAAUAUGACAUCGGGCAGAUGUUCUAUUAUACGAAAUAACAAUUCUCUCAGAGCUGAACGACAUUUGUUGUCGCUACAAAAAAGGUGUCAUUGAAUGAACGGAUUAAUGAAUUUUUCCGCCCGCCCGCCUGGCUGAGGGGUCACGGUUGAACGCCAGUCGAGCAUUGAACCCAAGGUAAAGACCUUCACGAGAUUGGACCCUCACCCCGUGUCAGGGCCACCGCUUACCCUCGUAGUCGGCUCCCCUCAACACGCGCUCCAUCAGUGCUAGCGUAUUUUUACGUUUUCUAAAUCCGUCUGUUAAAUGCGGUAA